GUUGGAAUUGAGAAGAAAUUCACGUAUAUUUUCAGUUUCGGGAUUGAUGGCUAUGGAACAGGAGAUGGAAUCAAAAACUCGACCUACGGGUAACCUACGGGUCAAAACAAAAGAGCAAAGAGGGACUUUCGUGGAAAGGUCAAUACAAAGAGGGGCCUUCGUGGAAAGGUCAAA